AAUCAGAAACCCGCAAUUCGUUUAGUGACCGCUUAAUAUCAACGCUACGGACAGCUCAUCAUCGACAUACAGCUUGCACGUAUGCUUUCUUUCGCGCAUUGGCGGCGCUUCCGAAGAGCCACGCAACGGCCAGUCAGGGCUGCCAUAGGAAACAGUAGCGCGCGGCGCAUUCUCCAUCGGUCGCGAUGUGCUGCUACCCACGGUGGCGAGAUGGGCGCGCGUCCUUGGAAGAAGAGCGUGCGUCGGGAGGAACGCGAACGAGACGGCGUUUCGCCGCGAAGCCGCCGCUUCCGUUCGCCCAGCACCGUUCUCUUGCGCGCUCGCUCGCGAGACGACGCACCGGAGCAGGUGUUCGGCCGGUGGCUCACUCUUUCUCGCUCGUGAAACAAUGGCCCCGGCUGGGAUAACACGCGAGCAACGUCGUGUACAGAAAGCGAACGCCCCCGAGAGAGCUAUACGGCGUCACCUGACGCGCGGUCACGGGGAGGCUGCUGCCUGCGAGGCUUAAGUAUAUAGCAUUGCCCCUGUGUUUGUUUGUGUGUGGGCUGUGUUCUGAGCGGCAAGACGCGCAGUGAAUGUCUUUUUUUAUCAUUACUAUUUUUUUUUCCUGGCUGACACUGUGCUUCUGUAGGGACGAAGCGUACGAGAAGACCACCGAAUGACUAGCCUUUAUUGACAGCCUUCACGUAGAGGGUCGACCAUGGCGAUACGGAGCCAAGGAGCGCUGCCCCUCUCUGGCACGAAUGUUCGCGCUCUGCCCCGCAGGUUCCACUGCCGAUGAAAGCAGGGAGCUCCC